rnacentral:rRNA from 1 species
UACAGAGGUCUCAAGCGUUGUUCGGAUUCAUUGGGCGUAAAGAGCUUGUAGGCGGCGUCAUAAGUUGGACGUGAAAACUCCGGGCUUAACUUGGAGAGGCCGUUCAAUACUGUGAGGCUAGAGGGUGUCAGAGGGAAGUAGAAUUCCUGGUGUAGCAGUGAAAUGCGUAGAUAUCAGGAGGAAUACCCGUGGCGAAGGCGGCUUCCUGGGGCACCACUGACGCUGAGAAGCGAAAGCUAGGGGAGCAAACGGG